rnacentral:rRNA from 1 species
UACGUAGGGGGCGAGCGUUGUUCGGAUUUACUGGGCGUAAAGGGCGCGCAGGCGGCGAUUUUUGUCAGGCGUGAAAGCCCCGGGCUCAACCUGGGAACUGCGCUUGAAGCGGGAUUGCUAGAGAUCGGGAGAGGAGAGUGGAAUUCCCAGUGUAGAGGUGAAGUUCGUAGAUAUUGGGAAGAACACCGGUGGCGAAGGCGGCUCUCUGGACCGAUACUGACGCUGAGGCGCGAAAGCGUGGGGAGCAAACAGG